GCCGGGAUAGCUCAGUCGGUAGAGCAACUGAUUCGUAAUCAGUAGGUCCGCGGUUCGAGUCCGCGUCCCGGCACCA
rnacentral:tRNA from 1 species